rnacentral:rRNA from 1 species
UACGUAGGGGGCUAGCGUUAUCCGGAAUUACUGGGCGUAAAGGGUGCGUAGGUGGUUUCUUAAGUCAGAGGUGAGAGGCUACGGCUCAACCGUAGUAAGCCUUUGAAGCUGGGGAACUUGAGUGCAGGAGAGGAGAGUGGAAUUCCUAGUGUAGCGGUGAAAUGCGUAGAUAUUAGGAGGAACACCAGUUGCGAAGGCGGCUCUCUGGACUGUAACUGACACUGAGGCACGAAAGCGUGGGGAGCAAACAGG